rnacentral:rRNA from 1 species
UACGGGGGGGGCAAGCGUUGUUCGGAAUUACUGGGCGUAAAGGGCUCGUAGGCGGCCAACUAAGUCGGACGUGAAAUCCCUCGGCUUAACCGGGGAACUGCGUCUGAUACUGGUUGGCUUGAGUGUGGGAGAGGGAUGCGGAAUUCCAGGUGUAGCGGUGAAAUGCGUAGAUAUCUGGAGGAACACCGGUGGCGAAGGCGGCAUCCUGGACCAUUACUGACGCUGAGGAGCGAAAGCCAGGGGAGCAAACGGG